rnacentral:misc_RNA from 1 species
AGGAGCUAGAAGUUGAGCUCCCAAAGUCGGUUGAACCUCUUGUUUCAGCAACAGAGGAGGAUGAUUGUUGUCCCAUCUGUCUGGAAGAGUAUGAUGCAGAGAAUCCAAAAAUUACCACAAAAUGUGAGCACCAUUUUCACCUUGCAUGCAUUCUUGAAUGGAUGGAAAGAAGUGACACCUGUCCUGUUUGUGACAAGGAAAUGAUAAUUGAACCUCCUAUUGAUUUGUAGUUAUGCAGAAAUUUCAACCAUGGUCAACAUCUUUGCUGUUUGAAUUAAAUUGGGAAGCAAAAUUUACAAUGCACAAAAGUUUUAUUUUCUUUUGCAUCCACUGUUAAGUGGUUGCCACAGAUUUGGCUGCAACUUCCUUUUACUUUUUGAAGAGUCAGUACCCUUUUCAGUGUAUAUGCAUAUCGCCUUUGUGCUUUAAGUCCUGCAUAUAUAUAAAAUCAUAAAAAUGAAUGAAAAAGAAAAAAAAAAAGAGAAGGGGAAGAAACAAAAAAAAAAAAAGAUGGGGGGGGGAUGGUGGUCCUACACAGUUCCUGAUGGCCAUUACUUCUGAAGCUUUUCAAAUUAGUGUAACGAUACAAGGCCUAAGUUUGCAUAUUGCAGGAUGCUAGUCAUAUUACUUGGUCAAAGAUUUUGUUAUUGCCUGAAGAAAGAAGUCAAUUGGUGGUGCUCUCCUUUUCCUCUCCCCACCGUCUUAGUAUAGAUUUUCUACAAUUGUCAAGCUGAAAUACUGUCGACAGAUGAAUUUUUUUUUUCCACCUUCUAAAUCGGUUAUGUAAAUGGUAUAUGGCGGUUGUUGAUGUCUUCAUUUUAUCUGCUUGUGAGAUUAUUUGAUGGAG